UGAGCCAUGGGGAUGCCUAGACCU
rnacentral:piRNA from 1 species